UACGGAGGGUGCAAACGUUGCUCGGAAUUAUUGGGCGUAAAGCGCACGUAGGCGGUCCAGCAAGUCGGGUGUGAAAGCCCUCGGCUUAACCGAGGAAGUGCAUUCGAAACUACUGGACUUGAAUACUGAAGAGGAUCGCGGAAUUCCCGGUGUAGAGGUGAAAUUCGUAGAUAUCGGGAGGAACACCAGUGGCGAAGGCGGCGAUCUGGGCAGAUAUUGACGCUGAUGUGCGAAAGCGUGGGGAGCAAACAGGG
rnacentral:rRNA from 1 species